rnacentral:lncRNA from 1 species
GUAAGGAACAAGCCUCCAUUUCAGUGAGAGUCAUCUUGGAUCAUGGUGCCUUCUUAUAGAUCUCUGCCAGCUACAAAGCCUCCAAGGGAGAGCACAGUGCUAUAAAGGCCUGGCUGUAGGAGAGUGCUGCAGGAAGCUGGAGAGGGCAGAUUCUCAUCUAUACAUUCAAUUACAAAGGUACUGAAAUAAGUGUUUUUAGCAGAAUUAUAUUUAGAAGGAACUUUUUAGAAGAAUGGCUGAAGAUGCAGCAUCAGAUCUCAAGAAGCACCUUUUGUAAUGAAACUAUCAAGUCUAACUUAUUUCAUGGAUUAGAAGUGGGAGACCAACUUCUUUGCCUUCAAAUCCUGAGGAGUUUCAGAAGUUAG